GACGAACGCUGGCGGCGUGCUUAACACAUGCAAGUCGAACGGAAAGGCCCUGCUUUUGUGGGGUGCUCGAGUGGCGAACGGGUGAGUAACACGUGAGUAACCUGCCCUUGACUUUGGGAUAACUUCAGGAAACUGGGGCUAAUACCGGAUAGGAGCUCCUGCUGCAUGGUGGGGGUUGGAAAGUUUCGGCGGUUGGGGAUGGACUCGCGGCUUAUCAGCUUGUUGGUGGGGUAGCGGCUUACCAAGGCUUUGACGGGUAGCCGGCCUGAGAGGGUGGCCGGCCACAUUGGGACUGAGAUACGGCCCAGACUCCUACGGGAGGCAGCAGUGGGGAAUAUUGCACAAUGGGCGGAAGCCUGAUGCAGCAACGCCGCGUGCGGGAUGACGGCCUUCGGGUUGUAAACCGCUUUCGCCUGUGACGAAGCGUGAGUGACGGUAAUGGGUAAAGAAGCACCGGCUAACUACGUG
rnacentral:rRNA from 1 species